rnacentral:rRNA from 1 species
CUCUCAGCUUAUUUUGCGCAGCUUAGGUGGGAGGCUAUGAACCUUUUCUUCUGGGAAGAGGGGAGCCGUCAGUGAGAUACCACUCUUGGUAAGCUAGAGCGCUCAGUCUUAACCGUCAUCCGGUAAGACGACAGUUUCAGGCGGGCAGUUUGACUGGGGCAGUCACCUCCCAAAAGGUAAUGGAGGUGUGCAAAGGUUCCCUCAGGCUGGACGGAAAUCAGCCAUAGAGUGUAAAAGCAAAAGGGAGCUUGACCGCGAGACUGACAUGUCAAGCAGAGACGAAAGUCGGCUUUAGUGAUCCGACGGUGCUGUGUGGAAAGGCCGUCGCUCAACGGAUAAAAGUUACUCUAGGGAUAACA